UUAAGUUCAGCGGGUAUCCCUACCUGAUCCGAGGUCAACCUUAAAAAGUAUGGGUUGUUGACCAGCAACCGACGGACCCUCUCGCGAGAAGAUUACUACGCGAAGAGCCAACCGGCGCCGCCACUGCGUUUAGAGGCCGCUGGUGGGCGUACCUCAAUACCAAGCCAGGCUUGAGUGGUGUAAAUGACGCUCGAACAGGC
rnacentral:misc_RNA from 1 species